CCUACGGGAGGCAGCAGUAGGGAAUAUUGGGCAAUGGGGGCAACUCUGACCCAGCAACGCCGCGUGAAUGAUGAAGGUCUUCGGAUUGUAAAGUUCUUUUCUAAGGGAAGAAGAUAGUGACGGUACAUUAGUAAUAAGCCUCGGCUAACUAGGGACCAGCCGCUGGGGUAAUACGUAGGAGGGAAGGGUUAUCCGGAAAGACUGGGCGGAAAGGGUGUGUUGGUGGUUUGACAAGGUAGGGGGGCAACUCCGGUGCUUAACUUCCGAAUUACUACUGAUACUGUUGGACUUGAGUGAAAGAGAGGCAAGCGGAAUUCCUAGUGUAGCGGUGGAAUGCGUAGAUAUUAGGAGGAACACCAGUGGCGAAGGCGGAUUACUAGACUUUAACUGACGCUGAGGGACGAAAGCGUGGGGAGCAAACAGGAUUAGAUACCCGAGUAGUC
rnacentral:rRNA from 1 species